UACGUAGGGUGCAAGCGUUGUUCGGAAUCAUUGGGCGUAAAGGGCGCGUAGGUGGUUCUGUAUGUCUACCGUGAAAAGCGUACGGCUCAACCGUAUUUUUUGUCGGUAGAAACUGCAGGACUUGAGGCUGGGAGGGGCUGGUGGAAUUCCCUGUGUAGCGGUGAAAUGCGUAGAGAUGGGGAGAACACUCGUGGCGAAGGCGGCCAGCUAGACCAGUUCUGACACUGAGGCGCGACAGCGUGGGGAGCAAACAGG
rnacentral:rRNA from 1 species